GCGCGAAAACUUUACAAUGCGGGCAACCGUGAUAAGGGAACCUCGAGUGCCUGUAUAUGCAGGCUGUCCAGGUGUCUAAAACACACCUGAAGAAAGGGCCGGGCAAGACCGGUGCCAGCCGCCGCGGUAAUACCGGCGGCUCGAGUGGUGGCCGCUUUUAUUGGGCUUAAAGCGUUCGUAGCUGGGUUGUUAAGUCUCUUGGGAAAUCCGGCGGCUCAACCGUCGGGCGUCUAAGAGAUACUGGCGAUCUUGGAACCGGGAGAGGUGAGGGGUACUUCGGGGGUAGGAGUGAAAUCCUGUAAUCCUCGAGGGACCACCUGUGGCGAAGGCGCCUCACCAGAACGGCUUCGACAGUGAGGGACGAAAGCUGGGGGAGCAAACCGGAUUAGAUACCCGGGUAGUCCCAGCCGUAAACGAUGUGCGUUAGGUGUAUCGACGACCACGAGUCGUCGAGGUGCCGAAGGGAACCGUGAAACGUACCGCCUGGGAAGUACGGUCGCAAGGCUGAAACUUAAAGGAAUUGGGCGGGGGAGCGACCACAACGAGGUGGAGCCUGCGGUUUAAU
rnacentral:rRNA from 1 species